rnacentral:rRNA from 1 species
CUUGGUCAUUUAGAGGAAGUAAAAGUCGUAACAAGGUCUCCGUUGGUGAACCAGCGGAGGGAUCAUUACCGAGUUAUACAACUCAUCAACCCUGUGAACAUACCUAUAACGUUGCCUCGGCGGGAACAGACGGCCCCGUAACACGGGCCGCCCCCGCCAGAGGACCCCCUAACUCUGUUUCUAUAAUGUUUCUUCUGAGUAAACAAGCAAAUAAAUUAAAACUUUCAACAACGGAUCUCUUGGCUCUGGCAUCGAUGAAGAACGCAGCGAAAUGCGAUAAGUAAUGUGAAUUGCAGAAUUCAGUGAAUCAUCGAAUCUUUGAACGCACAUUGCGCCCGCCAGUAUUCUGGCGGGCAUGCCUGUUCGAGCGUCAUUACAACCCUCAGGCCCCCGGGCCUGGCGUUGGGGAUCGGCGGAAGCCCCCUGCGGGCACAACGCCGUCCCCCAAAUACAGUGGCGGUCCCGCCGCAGCUUCCAUUGCGUAGUAGCUAACACCUCGCAACUGGAGAGCGGCACGGCCACGCCGUAAAACACCCAACUUCUGAAUGUUGACCUCGAAUCAGGUAGGAAUACCCGCUGAACUUAAGCAUAUCAAUAAGCGGAGGA